rnacentral:rRNA from 1 species
UAAAAAAAGGUAAGCUACUAAGAGCGAAUGGUGGAUGCCUUGACUGGUAAAGGCGAUGAAGGACGUACUAGACUGCGAUAAGCUACGGGGAGCUGUCAAGAAGCUUUGAUCCGUAGAUUUCCGAAUGGGGCAACCCAAUGUAUAGAGAUAUACAUUACCUAUAUAGGAGCGAACGAGGGGAAUUGAAACAUCUUAGUACCCUCAGGAAAAGAAAUCAAUAGAGAUUGCGUCAGUAGCGGCGAGCGAAAGCGCAAGAGGGCAAACCCAGUGCUUGCACUGGGGGUUGUAGGACUGCAAUAUGCAAGAGGUAAGUUUAGCAGAACAUUCUGGAAAGUAUAACCAUAGAGGGUGAUAGUCCCGUAUGCGAAAAACAAACCUUAGCUAGCAGUAUCCUGAGUAGGGCGGGACACGAGGAAUCCUGUCUGAAUCCGGGUCGACCACGAUCCAACCCUAAAUACUAAUACCAGAUCGAUAGUGCACAAGUACCGUGAGGGAAAGGUGAAAAGAACUGAGGUGAUCAGAGUGAAAUAGAACCUGAAACCAUUUGCUUACAAUCAUUCAGAGCCCUAUGUAGCAAUACAGGGUGAUGGACUGCCUUUUGCAUAAUGAGCCUGCGAGUUGUGGUGUCUGGCAAGGUUAAGCAAACGCGAAGCCGUAGCGAAAGCGAGUCUGAAUAGGGCGCUUAGUCAGAUGCUGCAGACCCGAAACGAAGUGAUCUAUCCAUGAGCAAGUUGAAGCUAGUGUAAGAACUAGUGGAGGACUGAACCCAUAGGCGUUGAAAAGCCCCGGGAUGACUUGUGGAUAGGGGUGAAAGGCCAAUCAAACUUCGUGAUAGCUGGUUCUCUCCGAAAUAUAUUUAGGUAUAGCGUUGUGUCGUAAUAUAAGGGGGUAGAGCACUGAAUGGGCUAGGGCAUACACCAAUGUACCAAACCCUAUCAAACUCCGAAUACCUUAUAUGUAAUCACAGCAGUCAGGCGGCGAGUGAUAAAAUCCGUCGUCAAGAGGGAAACAACCCAG